rnacentral:tRNA from 1 species
UGGGUUAUAGCUCAGUUGGUAGAGCAGACGACUGUUAAUCGUCCGGUCGCAGGUUCGAGCCCUGCUAACCCAGCCA